ensembl:lncRNA
CUUUUAUUUGCCACAACACAGAGAAACUUUUCCUAUCCGUUACAGCCCCGCCCACUUCGCCAUUCACACCCGUGUCCGAUUCGCUGGCACCACAAAGCCCAGGUCGCUAUUAAUCACUGAAAUGAAAGCUAGACAGUUAGGGAGCAUCCGAAAUAAACGAUGGAUAGAGGACCAUGUUUUGCAAAUUUUGAGGGCAAGGAAAUAUAACCAAAUAACCAGACGUAGCCCUCCGGACCUCGUUGAAGACUGAAUCCCCCAGGGAUAAAUGAGUUUGACACCUCUGCUCUGAAGCCUUAUCAAUUUCUUUUACAGUGGCACCAAAAAAGCAUUUUGAAAAUGCUUCCUCUGUGAUCCAUAAGUGUUGCCAUCGAUUUAAACGACUCCAACAGCGAUCCAAACAUCUCCACAUCCACAGGUAUAUAAGGUCUUCAUAGGGAUUCAGAUGGACGGAGCCUUUAAGCGACUGAAAUAGAAAACAGCCGGAUAACGUUGACACGCAUGCAGUGGUGGGUGACUGUAGGAAGAGGGGUGGAUGAUGUCACUAGUAACAGUAAAUACUGCUGCUCUGAAUAUAUAAUGGCCCGAUAACCUCAGUGACUAUUUGAACAAAUGACAGCUAAGUCAUGACCUUUGCUACAGUAAUAGCUGUGAGUCAUCACCUGGAGUAGUGUGUAAGAAAUAGAACAGGGUCUGAGUCUCAAAUGGCACCCUAAGUCUGGUCAAAAGUAGUCCACUAUAAAGGGAAGAGGGGGCCAUUUGGGAGGCAUGCUGUAUCUGUGAUUGCGUUAGGAGUUGUCGACUCAUAUCCACUGAGGCAAGACCCUGUGGUGUUGAUUGACACAUGACGUCGGCAUAAGUGGCCUCUGGUGGCCAGUAUAGAUGAUUGGUCAUUACACUGUUCCAGGCAUCAUCAAACGGAGGAUUGUGACUGUGGUCUGAUCUGUGUAGCUGAGUAUUAGUGAAGGUCUUUCUUCAUACGUCACCAGUGAAACUAGCGUUAUAUUUGAUCCAACAAAUGUCUGAAACACCAAACCCAGGACAGAGUAUAAUCCCUUGUUUCCUGAAACAAAGAUCACAUUAGGCAAGAGCACACCAUGAGAGGACAUCCAGGCUCUUUUUGAUGGCUGUACAUUGUGUCCAGAUCCUGUGCCAUAUAGAUGCGCAGAACACUUAUUUUAAUUUCCUUUUCAUCAUUUGUCCAAAUUUUUUUUUUAAAUUCCCCAUCUCUGAAUCAUCAGUAUUGUAGCAGUCAUUUUUAUGGUUUGAAUUUCGCUCCCAUCCUCUCCCUUCAUGUCUCCUGCCCCCUGUGUACAGUAUAACACAGGUGGAGCAGGUCCCUUCCUGGUCAACUGGCAGCCAAGCCAGAUGCAGUACUUGUAGUUCAGCUCAGGUGUGCUGUGCCUGAGGUACCAUCAGGAGGCAGCCAGAGAGUCCUUGCUCAGAUGUGCUCCAGUGUGCUGAGAGGUCCAGUGUGCUGAGAGGACUAGUGUGAUGGGAGGACCAGUGUGCUGAGAGGACCAGUGCUGGGAGGACCAGUGUGAUGGGAGGACCAGUGUGCUGAGAGGACCAGUGUGCUGGGAGGACCAGUGUGCUGGGAGGACCAGUGAUGGGAGGACCAGUGUGCUGAGAGGACCAGUGCGCUGGGAGGACCAGUGUGCUGAGAGGUCCAGUGCGCUGGGAGGACCAGUGUGCUGAGAGGUCCAGUGCGCUGAGAGGACCAGUGUGCUGAGAGGACCAGUGCGCUGGGAGGACCAGUGCGCUGAGAGGUCCAGUGCGCUGAGAGGUCCAGUGCGCUGAGAGAACCAGUGCGCUGAGAGGACCAGUGCGCUGAGAGGACCAGUGCGCUGAGAGGACCAGUGCGCUGAGAGGACCAGUGUGCUGAGAGGACCAGUGUGCUGAGAGGACCAGUG